GCCCCGAGUCCCAACCUGGGAUCGCCCUGGCCGAGGGCACUUCCCGCAAAGGUCGGGGGAAAGGCUGCUUGGAGGGAGUGGUCAUCAGACAAAUGGGCGUCCCUUUGCCAAAAAGUUCCCAAGCAGCGCGGGAGAACUCGGCGUGUAGUGGGUGUCCAAUUCACAGAUGAAGAAACUAAGGCAAAAGAGAGAUGAAAUAAUUUAUUCAAGACCACACUGCAGUUUUACUUCAGAGUCUAUGCUCCCAUCUACUACGCCAGUGGUCCUCCCGAGACGAAGACAGCUACCAUGUCCUGACUGCUGGCUGCCACACACGAUGGGGUGUCGCUCCAGGACCUUGCUUCAGACGUGUAAGCUCCAUCCAUUAAACCAUUGUCUCUGUUGCUGACUCCGGGCUCUUUUAUUGGUCUUGAAGCUGGGCAAGCACAGGCCUUGUAGGCCUGUGGAGUGCAGCCCAAGACCAUUGAUAAAUAUUACUUAACACUAAAGCAUGACCAGGUUCAGUACCCAUACUAUCUCUAGUUUUCAUUUUUAUAGAUGUGAGCCCUGAGAAUCUUGUUUUAUAAGUGAGUAAAUGGGGAUGAAAAUAACUUUGUAAUAAUAAUGUUACUCAAGUUUUCGAACCAUGUCCAAAUUGUGUACCAAAAAUUACGUAGCGAUUGGUGAUUGCCAGAGGCUGGGGGGACAGGGAAGCAGGGGGUUGUUGUUCAAUGGGCAUAAAUUUUCAGUCAUGCAAGAUGAAAAACUACUUGAGAUCCAUUGUACAACAAUAUGUAUAUAGUUAACAAUACUGUAAUAUACACUUGAAAAUUGUUAGGGUAAAUUUAUAUUAUUGCAGGUUUUUUGUGGUUUUUUUAAACCACAAUUACAGAAAAAAAGAGUCAAGCCUGAUCCAUCAACUGAUGGAUAGCUAAACAAAAUAUGGUAUAUCCACACAACGGACUACUUAUUAUUCAGCCAUGAAAAGGAAUGAAGUUCUGAUACAUGGACAUAAACUUGGAUGAACCUUGAAACAUUAUGCUAAGUGAAAGAAACCAGAAGAUCAUGUACUGUAUGAUUCCAUUUAUAUGAAAUGUCCAGAAUAGGCAAAUCCACAGAGACAGAAAGUAAAUUGGUGCUUGCCUAGGGCUAGGGGGACGGGAAGCUGAGGGGUGAUAGUUAAAGAGUAAGGGGUUUCUUUUCUGGGUGAUGAAAAUGUUCUAAAAUUAAUGACAGUGAUUGUACAACUCUGUGAAUAUACUGAAAGUCAUUGAAGUGUACACUUGAAUAAAUUGUGAGUAUGUAAAUUAUAUCUCAAUAAAACCGUGUUUGA